AUUAAAGUGAAGAAUUCUUGCACUUCGAUUCCUGUUCUAGCCCCAGAGCUUUUGAAGACAAACGUGCCGGGGCUGGCGGAAAAAAGAGAAUAUUUGUUCCAGAAGGAAUUUCCUGAGGGUU